rnacentral:rRNA from 1 species
AGUGAACGCUGGCGGUAGGCCUAACACAUGCAAGUCGAACGGCAGCACAGUAAGAGCUUGCUCUUACGGGUGGCGAGUGGCGGACGGGUGAGGAAUACAUCGGAAUCUACUUUUUCGUGGGGGAUAACGUAGGGAAACUUACGCUAAUACCGCAUACGACCUACGGGUGAAAGCAGGGGAUCUUCGGACCUUGCGCGAUUGAAUUAGCCGAUGUCGGAUUAGCUAGUUUGCGGGGUAAAGGCCCACCAAGGCGACGCUCCGUAGCUGGUCUGAGAGGAUGAUCAGCCACACUGGAACUGAGACACGGUCCAGACUCCUACGGGAGGCAGCAGUGGGGAAUAUUGGACAAUGGGCGCAAGCCUGACCCAGCCAUACCGCGUGGGUGAAGAAGGCCUUCGGGUUGUAAAGCCCUUUUGUUGGGAAAGAAAAGCAGCAGGUUAAUACCCCGCUGUUCUGACGGUACCCAAAGAAUAAGCACCGGCUAACUUCGUG